UAAUAACACAUGGUACUGAACACAACUGCUAAAAACAUAAAAUAAAUUUACAUACACCCAGCCCAAAGGCUGAGACCCCUGUGUCGCACAGCACGGCACCCUCUGAUAGAUGCCGGAGGAAAUUUUGCGGUAAUUUACCUACUGGCGGGCACAACAAAAACUGCCUCGCCGUACCCAUUAUUACUCUGAAGCAAACACAAACAAUUGUUUGGGUGCUUAUAAUGGGCUAGCCUGCGGUGCAACACAGCAGUUUACAAUCUUACCGUGCUCUAUAGUAUUCCCCCUUCCCAUAACUAGUCUGGUGGCAUGUGCCCGAUUAUUAUUCCUGAGAAAAACGCUGAACUGGAUGGAGUUCGUGGGGGUGUUCAUCAUCUCUCAAAUGUGCAAUGUCCCUUUAAGUAAUGGAGUCCUUGUAGUAACAGUAGCAACACUUUAGGCCCGACACAAAGCAGAGACCCUAACUAGCUAACUACAGGCCUUGUCUCAGUCUCCAGGUGCCAACUCUGCAAUGAGGUGCAUGCACAAUCUUACUGUCCCGGGUCUGCUCUUUAGCCGCUGAUGACUCUGAACCGAACAACCAGUCUCUCCAGCAAACAUGAGGUCCUGCAGGGUAUGUGUAACACCCCACAAGGGGGCAUUACCACUCUUUUUACCCCUUUGCUAUCCUAAUGGUGUAUCCUGUGUCAUCAUGUGUAACUAUUUUCAGGUCCUUCAUAAUGUGUAUGUAUUUCCUAUACAUUUCUGGCCGAGCUGUGUUAGACCGAAUGGAACCCUCGUUCCAUUCUAUCCCCCUCUCUAGAGGGAGGAGUUUUAGUUAGGGAGAGGCAGUCUAGCCUUCCUCUCCUUGGUGAGAGGUCGAGUUCCAGCUUGUCCCCUGCUGGGGAGGGAAGCAGGCCUUGUCCUGCCUCGAUAGGCCCUGCCUGUGAGUUCUAAAUGAAAGCUUGAAGUCAGGAAGAAAGAUGCCCUGAAUAAAGAUAAAGACAAAGAUACAGAGCAAGAUAAAGAAUCAGACUACAGAAAGCCAAGUUGCAGCCUACAGCAGAAAAAGGAAAAGUUCCUAUUUCAUCCAGCCAGCAUAGCAGAGCUGAGAGAGUUCAGAUGUAGCAGAGCUGAAAUUGUUUGACUGCCAAAAGUUAA